UUAGCAAACAAAAAUGCGCUUUUCAAGUUUUGUGAGUAUCUUAAGACCAGUCCUUCAAAUACUGAGUUUUUAGGCGUGUCUAAUAGAUGGCGCAUUAAUUGUGUCAGUUAUGGGCUCAUGGCGGUUUGUUGUCAAAAGUUAAGCUAAUUUUUCUUCGAAAAUUACCAAUGUAUUUACUGUCUGAGGAAACGUGAAAGUCGUGCAGCCUACCGUCAACUAUUUUGUUCAAAAUUCAAACUCAUUGUAAUUCUACUGAAUGUGCCAUCGAAAUGAUACAGGAUUCAUCUUAAUUAUUGGCUGUUUCUAUUGGACUUGCUAGAUCACCAGUCCCAGGCUCUCAGCCUUCCCCCGAUUUUGAGUGUUCACUACUUACUGUUUAAUUAUUUCUAGAUCAUAGACGUAAAGCACAUUGAUGACAAAAACUAUAAACAAGAUUUGAUGAGAAGGAGGCAUUCACAUUGUACAGGUUUCUAAAUUAGCAUGACAGACUUGAUGAGAAGUCAUGUUUGAAGAAAAAGGACAAGGACUAUACAGUCAAUAAGGUUCCUUGUUUGCUAACCUGUUGGCUGCUACCCUUGAAUCUCCCUGUUUACUUCUUUACAAGGGUCCUCUUGAUUUGAGGGUAACUCUUUCGCUACUGAUCACAUCCAAUGUUGUAAACUGACGAGAGAAUGCUGCAAUUCAAGACUGAUACAUUGUGUAGUUGUUAGGUCAAUGACAAGUGCAUAUCUGGGCUCCCUUCUUUUCUGUGGUCCCGUUUUCCUAACUAACCACUUACCAACGCCCGCCGGUGGUCACUCACCCGCUGUGAAACCAGGAGGAGGGGAGGGCUCUGGUCGAACUCUGGUCUUGGA